rnacentral:rRNA from 1 species
CAGCGCCGCGGUAAUACAGAGGGUGCAAGCGUUAAUCGGAUUUACUGGGCGUAAGGGGCGCGUAGGUGGUUAUGUAAGUGAGAUGUGAAAUCCCCGGGCUCAACCUGGGAACUGCAUCUUAUACUGCGUAGCUGGAGUGCAGUAGAGGGUAGUGGAAUUUCCGGUGUAGCGGUGAAAUGCGUAGAUAUCGGAAGGAACACCAGUGGCGAAGGCGGCUACCUGGACUGACACUGACACUGAGGCGCGAAAGCGUGGGGAGCAAACAGGAUUAGAUACCCCUGUAGUCCCUGUCUCUUAUACC